GAUGAACGCUAGCGGCAGGCUUAAUACAUGCAAGUCGAGGGGCAGCAUGACUGUAGCAAUACAGUUGAUGGCGACCGGCAAACGGGUGCGGAACACGUACAGAACCUUCCUUCGAGCGGGGAGUAGCACAGAGAAAUUUGGAUUAAUACCCAAUAGUAUUACGGAGUGGCAUCACUUUGUCAUUAAAGAUUUAUCACUUGAAGAUGGCUGUGCGGCUGAUUAGGUAGUUGGCGGGGUAACGGCCCACCAAGCCUGCGAUCAGUAACUGGUGUGAGAGCACGACCAGUCACACGGGCACUGAGACACGGGCCCGACUCCUACGGGAGGCAGCAGUAAGGAAUAUUGGUCAAUGGACGAAAGUCUGAACCAGCCAUGCCGCGUGGAGGAUGAAGGUCCUCUGGAUUGUAAACUUCUUUUAUAUGGGACGAAAAAAGGCUUUUCUAAGUCGUCUGACGGUACCAUAUGAAUAAGCACCGGCUAACUCCGUGCCAGCAGCCGCAGUAACAC
rnacentral:rRNA from 1 species